UGAACGCUAGCGACAGGCCUAACACAUGCAAGUCGAGGGGCAGCACAAGGAGUAAUCUGAGGUGGCGACCGGCGCACGGGUGAGUAACACGUAUGCAACCUGGCUGUAAGAGGGGAAUAACCCGGAGAAAUCCGGACUAAUACCGCAUAAUACUUAGAGUCCGCAUGGAUUUUAAGUUAAACAUUUAUGGCUUACAGAUGGGCAUGCGUAUGAUUAGCUGGUUGGAGAGGUAACGGCUCCCCAAGGCAACGAUCAUUAGGGGUUCUGAGAGGAAGGUCCCCCACACUGGUACUGAGACACGGACCAGACUCCUACGGGAGGCAGCAGUGAGGAAUAUUGGUCAAUGGACGCAAGUCUGAACCAGCCCAAGUCGCGUGAAGGAAGAAUGUCCUAUGGAUUGUAAACUUCUUUUGAAGGGGAAUAAAGUACGGUACGUGUACCGUUUUGUAUGUACCCUUCGAAUAAGGAUCGGCUAACUCCGUGCCAGCCGCAGC
rnacentral:rRNA from 1 species